GCGCAUUGCAUGGAUGCCUCGACUCUGUACUCCUAUGAAGGACGUGGCCAGCUGCGAUAAGCCUCGGUAAGCCGCUAGGCAGGCGUUAUAACCGGGGAUUUCCGAAUGAGGAAACUCCAUCUUCGUUAUGGAAGAUGAUCCCGCGCAAGCGGGAAGGUCACUCUGCGAACUGAAACAUCUCAGUAGCAGAGGAAAAGAAAUCAAAUGAGAUUCCCAAAGUAGUGGCGAGCGAAAUGGGAACAGGCUAAACCCCACUAUUUACUUGGUGGGGGGUUGUAGGACUCCGAUAUCUGAUUGUUUCUCUAUAGGCGAACGACCCUGGAACGGGCGGCCAAAGUGGGUGAGAGCCCCGUAGUCGAAAUAGCGAAACACAGUAGGAAGUUCCUGAGUAGGAUCGGACACGUGAAAUCCGGUCUGAAUCUGGGUGGACCACCAUCCAAGCCUAAACAGGUACAGAGAUCUAUAGCGAAUAGUACCGCGAGGGAACGGUGAAAAGUACCCCGAAAGGGGGAUGAAAUAGACCCUGAAAUGUAAUGCGUUCAAGGAAUAGGAGCCCCGUAGAUAGUGCUGCUUUCGAUAGCCUCAUGGUUAUUACAAGUUGGGCAGUACCAUCUACGGGGUGACUGUGUGCCUUUUGCAUAAUGAGCCAACGAGUUAGUUGUUAGUGGCUGGUUAAGGCAGAUUUAGCCGGAGCCAGAGCGAAAGCGAGUCCGAAUAGGGCGAAUAUAGUCGCUAGCACUAGACCCGAAACCGGGUGAGCUACCCAUGGGCAGGGUGAAGGGCGCCGGAAGGCGUCUGGAGGCCCGAACCAUUAAGUGCCACAAGACUUAGGGAUGACCUGUGGGUAGGGGUGAAAAGCCUAUCGAACCCGGAGAUAGCUGGUUCU
rnacentral:rRNA from 1 species